rnacentral:snRNA from 1 species
AUACUUACCUGGCAGGGGAGAUACCAUGAUCACGAAGGUGGUUUUCCCAGGGCGAGGCUUAUCCAUUGCAUUCCAGAUGUGCUGACCCCUGCGAUUUCCCCAAAUGUGGGAAACUCGACUGCAUAAUUUGUGGUAGUGGGAGACUGCGUUCGCACUUUCCCCUG